GACGUAGGGGGCAAGCGUUGUCCGGAAUCAUUGGGCGUAAAGAGCGUGUAGGCGGUCCGGUAAGUCGGCUGUGAAAGUCCAGGGCUCAACCCUGGGAUGCCGGUCGAUACUGCCAGGCUAGAGUCCGGAAGAGGCGAGUGGAAUUCCUGGUGUAGCGGUGGAAUGCGCAGAUAUCAGGAGGAACACCAACGGCGAAGGCAGCUCGCUGGGACGGUACUGACGCUGAGACGCGAAAGCGUGGGAGCGAACAGG
rnacentral:rRNA from 1 species